rnacentral:ncRNA from 2 species
ACGGGAGAGAAAGCGCAUGGCCUCUGCGGGACGGUUUGGCGGCAUGUGGACUGCGGCCCAGCCGCAUAUCCAGCAGAGGUGACGAGGAUGAGGGUUCCUGCCUUUCACAGGCAGGCUAAUCCCUGCGAAUGCUAGCAGGGAGAAAAUCGACGGAUCAGCGGAAGCCCUCCGGGCGUGCCACAGCCCGAUAUCUUUCCCUCCAAACUAUAACUCCAUCACAACUCCACCGGGUGACCGGAUGGACAAAGCCGUGGAGCGUGGCAAAU